UCAACCUGGUUGAUCCUGCCAGUAGUCAUAUGCUUGUUUCAAGGACUAAGCCAUGCAUGCCUCAGAAUCACUGCAUUGCAGGAAUCUGCGCAUGGCUCAUUACAUCAGACGUAAUCUGCCGCAAAAAUUGUGCGGUCUCCGCAUCAUUGGAUACCUUGGCGAAACGCCAAGCUAAUACAUGAACCAUCGGGACG
rnacentral:rRNA from 1 species